UUAUGGCUCAGGACGAACGCUGGCGGCGUGCCUAACACAUGCAAGUCGAGCGGGGACAUGCGACGGAUAUGAAGUUUCGGAUGGAGUUGAAGAUGUAUGUUCUAGCGGCGGACGGGUGAGUAACGCGUGAACAAUCUGUCCUUCACAGGGGGAUAACACAGCGAAAGUUGUACUAAUACCGCAUAAGACCACGGUGAGGCAUCUUACAGGGGUCAAAGGAGCAAUCCGGUGAAGGGUGAGUUCGCGUCCGAUUAGAUAGUUGGUGAGGUAACGGCCCACCAAGUCGACGAUCGGUAGCCGACCUGAGAGGGUGAUCGGCCACAUUGGGACUGAGACACGGCCCAAACUCCUACGGGAGGCAGCAGUGGGGAAUAUUGGGCAAAAUGGGGGAAACCCUGACCCAGCAACGCCGCGUGAGGGAAGAAGGUUUUCGGAUCGUAAACCUCUGUCCUAGGUGAAGAGGAAGAGACGGUAGCCUAGGAGGAAGCCCCGGCUAACUACGUGCCAGCCGCCGC
rnacentral:rRNA from 1 species